rnacentral:tRNA from 1 species
GGCGCGUUCGUCCAAUGGCAGGACACCGGCCUCUCAAGCCGGAGACACGGGUUCGACCCCCGUACGCGUCA